CGGCGGACGGGUGAGUAAUGUAUGGGGAUCUGCCCGAUGGAGGGGGAUAACUACUGGAAACGGUAGCUAAUACCGCAUAAUGUCUACGGACCAAAGCGGGGGACCUCCGGGCCUCGCGCCAUCAGAUGAACCCAUAUGGGAUUAGCUAGUAGGUAAGGUAACGGCUUACCUAGGCGACGAUCCCUAGCUGGUCUGAGAGGAUGAUCAGCCACACUGGGACUGAGACACGGUCCAG
rnacentral:rRNA from 1 species